rnacentral:rRNA from 1 species
UACGGAAGGCAGCAGUGGGGAAUAUUGCACAAUGGGCGCAAGCCUGAUGCAGCCAUGCCGCGUGUAUGAAGAAGGCCUUCGGGUUGUAAAGUACUUUCAGUCGUGAGGAAGGUGUUAAGGUUAAUAACCUUAGCAAUUGACGUUAGCGACAGAAGAAGCACCGGCUAACUCCGUGCCAGCAGCCGCGGUAAUACGGAGGGUGCGAGCGUUAAUCGGAAUUACUGGGCGUAAAGGGCACGCAGGCGGUUAAUUAAGUUGGAUGUGAAAUCCCCGGGCUUAACCUGGGAAUGGCAUUCAAGACUGGUUAGCUAGAGUCUUGUAGAGGGGGUAGAAAUUCCAUGUGUAGCGGUGAAAUGCGUAGAGAUGUGGAGGAAAUACCGGUGGCGAAGGCGGCCCCUGGACAAAGACUGACGCUCAUGUGCGAAAGCGUGGGGAGCAAACAGGGAUUAGAUACC